rnacentral:lncRNA from 1 species
AUGGGGUCCCAGUGGGUGAUGGAGACCUCAGUGUGGGUGAGGGAUUCCAAUGGGUGAUGGGGUUCCAAUAAGUCGUCGUGUUCCUGUUGGUGAUGGGGUCCCAAUGGGUGAUGGGAUCCCAAUGCAUAGUGGCACUCCCCCCCAUUGGUGAUGGUGUCCCAGUGGAUGAUGAGGGACCUCAAUUUGUAAUGGAGACCUCAGUGGGAUCCCAUUGUGUAGUGGAAUCCCAAUGGGGUGAUGGGAUGUCAGUGGAUGAUGGGGUCCCAGUGCAUGAUGGAGACCUCAGUGGGUGUGGGUGGUGGUAUCCCAGUGGGUGAUGGGGUCCCAAUAAGUUGUGGUGUUCCUGUUGGUUAUGGGGUCCCAAUGGGUGAUGGGACCUCAAUGAUGGAGACCUCAAUGGGGUGAUGGGAUCCCAUUGCAUAGUGGCACUCCCAUUGGUGAUGGGGUCUGAAAGAGUGAUGGGAUCCUAGACAGUGAUGGGAUUUCAGUGAGUGAUGGAGACCUCAGUGGGUUCUGGGCUCUCAAUGGGUGAUGGGGUCACACUGAGUAGUGGCGUUCCUGUUGAUAAUGGGGUCCGCUUGUGUGAUAGGAUCCCAAUGAGUGGCUGGACUGCAAUGAGUGAUGGAGAUCUCAGUGGGUGAUGGGAUCCUUUUGGGUCUCCCAAUAGGGGAUCUUGGUUGCUAAUGGAGUCCCAGUGGAUGAUGAGGUCUUAAUGGAUGGUGGGGUCUCAGUAGGUGAUGGGAUCUCAAUGGGUAAUGGGGUCCCGAUGGGUAGUGAGGUCCCAGUGGGUGAUGAGAUCUCACUGGGUGAUGGAGAUCUCAAUGAGUAGUGGGAUCUCAAUGGGUGAUGGGAUCCCACUGGGUAGUGGCAUUCCCAUUGGUGAUGAGGUCCCAGCUGGUGAUGGGACCUUAAUGAGUGAUGGAGACCUCAAUGGGUGAUGAUUUCUCAGUGGGUGAUAGAGUCCUACUGGGUCCCCUAGUAGGGGACCUCAGUGGCUAAUGGGGUCCCAGUGGGUGGUAGAAACCUCAGUGGGUUAGAAAGGUGGGCCCAAGUGAACCUGAUGAGGUUCAACACGGCAAAGUGCAGAGUUUUGCACUUGGGCCGGAGGAAUGCCAGGCAUCC